UGAGGUAGUAGAUUGAAUAGUUGUGGAGCCCUGCGCUCUCUCUCUGAGAUAACUAUACAAUCUACUGUCUUUC
rnacentral:pre_miRNA from 3 species